AUUGAACGCUGGCGGGAUGCCUAACACAUGCAAGUCGAGCGAGCGACGGACGGGUGAGUAAUGUCUGGGAACCUGGUUGCUGGGGGGGGCUACCCACUGGAAACGGUAACUCAUCCCGCAUCUCAUCAGGUCUGUCCAGAUGGGAUUAGCUGGUGGGUGGGGUAAUGGCUCACCCAGGCGACGAUCCCUCGCUGGUCUGGGGGGAUGACCAGCCACACUGGGACUGGGGCACGGUCCAGACUCCUACGGGAGGCAGCAGUGGGGAAUAUUGCACAAUGGGCGAAAGCCUGAUACAGCCAUGCCGCGUGUGUGAAGAAGGCCUUCGGGUUGUAAAGCACUUUCAGCGGGGAGGCGGUACCCGCAGAAGAAGCACCGGCUAACUCCGUGCCAGCAGCCGCGGUAAUUC
rnacentral:rRNA from 1 species